rnacentral:rRNA from 1 species
UUUUGGACAAUGGGGGCAACCCUGAUCCAGCAAUGCCGCGUGAGUGAAGAAGGCCUUCGGGUUGUAAAGCUCUUUUGUCAGCGAAGAAACCACCGGCUUUAACACAGUCCGGGAAUGACGGUACCUGAAGAAUAAGCACCGGCUAACUACGUGCCAGCAGCCGCGGUAAUACGUAGGGUGCGAGCGUUAAUCGGAAUUACUGGGCGUAAAGCGUGCGCAGGCGGUUAUACAAGACAGGCGUGAAAUCCCCGGGCUUAACCUGGGAAUGGCGCCUGUGACUGUAUAGCUAGAGUGUGUCAGAGGGGGGUAGAAUUCCACGUGUAGCAGUGAAAUGCGUAGAUAUGUGGAGGAAUACCAAUGGCGAAGGCAGCCCCCUGGGAAACACUGACGCUCAUGCACGAA